GGUGUUAUAGUAUAGUGGUCAGUACAACACGUUGUGGUUUCGCAUCGUGAAACCGUGUAGACCCCGAUUCGAUUUCGGGUAACGCCA